rnacentral:rRNA from 1 species
GACAGAGGUGCCAAGCGUUAGGCAGAAUCACUGGGCUUAAAGCGUGUGUAGGCGGAUUGGUAAGUACCUUGUGAAAUCCCACAGCUCAACUGUGGAACUGCUGGGUAUACUGCUUAUCUUGAGCCACUUAGGGGCUGUCGGAACAAAUGGUGGAGCGGUGAAAUGCGUAGAUAUCAUUUGGAACGCCAAAGGUGAAAACAGACAGCUGGGAGUGUGCUGACGCUGAGACACGAAAGCCAGGGGAGCGAACGGG